rnacentral:rRNA from 1 species
GACGAACGCUGGCGGCGUGCUUAACACAUGCAAGUCGAACGAUGAAGCAAAGAAUCGAAGCUUCGGCAGAAAUUCAUUUCGGAUUAGUGGCAGACGGGUGAGUAACGCGUGAGCAACCUACCUCUUACAAAGGGAUAGCCUCGGGAAACCGGGAUUAAUACCAUAUAACAUUGUGACGAAGCAUUUCGAUGCAAUCAAAGCUACGGCGGUAAGAGAUGGGCUCGCGUCCCAUUAACCGGAUGGUGAGGUAACGGCUCACCAUAGUGACGAUGGGUAACCGGCCUGAGAGGGUGAACGGUCACACUGGAACUGAGACACGGUCCAGACUCCUACGGGAGGCAGCAGUGGGGAAUAUUGCACAAUGGAGGGAACUCUGAUGCAGCGACGCCGCGUGAGUGAUGAAGGAAUUCGUUUCGUAAAACUCUGUUCUAUGGGAAGAAAAGGACUGUACCAUAGGAGAAAGCUCCGGCUAAAUACGU